UAGUGGAUGGAAGUUAUGAAGAGAUAAAGUUCAACUUGAUAUCAGAAAGCAUUCUGGAGGGGCAGAGCUGUCCAGAGAUGAAAUGGGCUGCCUUGUCAGCUAGUGAUGCUGUUCAAAAGCUGUAUGAGCAGUGAGUGGGGCUACUGUAGAGGGAGUUCACCCAUAUGAUGGCGGGAGGAUGCAGUGUCAUACUUGACCUCUAAUGUCUCUAC
rnacentral:lncRNA from 1 species